rnacentral:rRNA from 1 species
AGGGCGUACGGCGAAUGCCUUGCCACUCGAAACUGAAGAAGGACGCGCCAAACUGCGAAAAGCUCCGUGAAGCUGUAAGGAAGCGAAGAAGCGGAGGUGUCCGAAUGGGGGAACCCGGCAGCAGACAUGAGCUGUCAUCUGCAGGUGAAUACAUGGCCUGCAAGAGAGGUACCCGGCGAACUGAAACAUCUAAGUAGCCGGAGGAAAAGAAAACAACAGUGAUUCCCUGAGUAGCGGCGAGCGAAAGGGGAGAAGCCCAAACCGGUUGAAGGACCGGGGUUGAAGGACCAUGACAUGGCAAGAACGAGGAUAGGAGAACGGGAUCGAAAGCCCGGCCGAAGAAGGUGAAAGCCCUGUAACCGAAAUCCAAGGGAAGCCUAAUGGGAUCCUGAGUACGGCGAGACACGAGAAAUCUUGUCGGAAGCAGGCGGGACCAUCCGCCAAGGCUAAAUAUAAACGAGUGAGCGAUAGUGAACCAGUACCGUGAGGGAAAGGUGAAAAGAACCGCGGGAGCGGAGUGAAAGAGAACCUGAAACCGUAUGCCUACAAGAAGUCAGAGCCCGUUAAGGGGUGAUGGCGUGCCUUUUGUAGAAUGAACCGGCGAGUUGCGACAGACUGCGAGGUUAAGGAGGAAAGACCGGAGCCGAAGCGAAAGCGAGUCUUAAUAGGGCGAAAGUAGGAUGUUGCAGACCCGAAACCGGGUGAUCUAGCCAUGAGCAGGUUGAAGUUGAGGUGAAACUCAAUGGAGGACCGAACCGACUACCGUUGAAAAGUUAGCGGAUGACUUGUGGCUAGGGGAGAAAUUCCAAUCGAACCCGGAGAUAGCUGGUUCUCCCCGAAAUAGCUUUAGGGCUAGCGUCGGAAAGAACCUUAGUGAAGGUAGAGCACUGAAUGUGUGAUGGCCCCAUCCCGGGGUACUGAAUACAAUCAAACUGCGAAUGUCAUUAAGGAUGUCCGGCAGUCAGACUGUGAGUGAUAAGGUCCAUGGUCAAGAGGGAAACAGCCCAGACCGCCAGUUAAGGUCCCAAAAUACAGGCUAAGUGGAAAAGGAUGUGGGGAUGCCCAGACAACUAGGAGGUUGGCUCAGAAGCAGCCAUCCUUUAAAGAGUGCGUAACAGCUCACUAGUCGAGUGACCCUGCGCCGAAAAUGUACCGGGGCUAAGCCUGAUACCGAAACUGCGGAUUGUAGGAAACUAUAGUGGUAGGGGAGCGUUGUAUACGAGCAGAAGCCGUACCGUGAGGAGCGGUGGAUUGUAUAGAAGUGAGAAUGCCGGUGUGAGUAGCGAGAUGUAGGUGAGAAUCCUACACACCGAAAGCCCAAGGAUUCCAGGGGAAGGUUCGUCCGCCCUGGGUAAGUCGGGACCUAACGCGAGGCCGAAAGGCGUAGUGGAUGGAAAGCAGGCGAAAGAUUCCUGCACCCGUAUAUGGAGCGAAGGAGUGACGGAGACGGAUAGUGUGACCCUCUUAAUGGAUUGAGGGCGAAGCGAAGCGGCUGGUUACCAGGCAAAUCCGGUAACUGAAAGGCUAGAGCGUGACAGGUAAGCGAAAUCUUAGGAAAGUAGCGAAGCACAUGAUGACGGCUUCCAGGAAAAGCUUCUGGCAAUGCAUAUGCGGCCCGUACCAAAACCGACACAGGUGGGCAGGGAGAGAAUCCCGAGGUGAGCGAGAGAACUGUUGCCAAGGAACUCGGCAAAAUGACUCCGUAAGUUAGCGAGAAGGAGUGCUUAAGCAAUUAAGCCGCAGUGAAGAGGCCCAAGCGACUGUUUAACUAAAACACAGCUCUCUGCGAAGUCGCAAGACGAAGUAUAGGGGGUGACACCUGCCCGGUGCUGGAAGGUUAAGAGGAUCUGUUAAGAGCGAUCUGAAGCAGUGAUCCGAAGCCCCAGUGAACGGCGGCCGUAACUAUAACGGUCCUAAGGUAGCGAAAUUCCUUGUCAGGUAAGUUCUGACCCGCACGAAAGGUGUAACGAUUUGGGCGCUGUCUCGGCAGCAGACUCGGUGAAAUCUUAGUACCUGUGAAAAUGCAGGUUACCCGCAACUAGACGGAAAGACCCCAUGGAGCUUUACUGCAGCCUGAUAUUGAAUUCUGGUCAUACAUGUACAGGAUAGGUGGGAGACAAAGAGACGUGCACGCCAGUGUACGAGGAGUCGGCGUUGGGAUACCACUCUUGUGUGACCGGGGUUCUAACCUGGUAUCGAGAACAGGUACGGGGAGAGUGUCAGGUGGGCAGUUUGACUGGGGCGGUCGCCUCCCAAAGAGUAACGGAGGCGCCCAAAGGUUCCCUCAGAAUGGUUGGAAAUCAUUCAAAGAGUGCAAAGGCAGAAGGGAGCUUGACUGCGAGACGGACAGGUCGAGCAGGAACGAAAGUUGGGCUUAGUGAACCGGCUGUGCUGAAUGGAAAGGCAGUCGAUCAACGGACAAAAGCUACCCUGGGGAUAACAGGCUGAUCUCCCCCAAGAGUUCACAUCGACGGG